rnacentral:misc_RNA from 1 species
AGCAGCCGCGGUAAUUCCAGCUCCAAUAGCGUAUAUUAAAGUUGUUGCAGUUAAAAAGCUCGUAGUUGAAUUUUGGGUCUGGCCGGGCGGUCCGCCCUCUGGGUGAGCACUGUUCCGACGCCGGGCCUAUCCUUCUGGUGAGUCGGCAUGUCCUUUAUUGGGUGUGCCGGGGAACCAGGACCAUUACCUUGAAAAAAUUAGAGUGUUCAAAGCAGGCGUAUGCUCGGAUACAUUAGCAUGGAAUAAUGAAAUAGGACGCGUGGUGCUAUUUUGUUGGUUUCUAGAACCGCCGUAAUGAUUAAUAGGGAUAGUUGGGGGCAUUAGUAUUCAAUUGUCAGAGGUGAAAUUCUUGGAUUUAUUGAAGACUAACUUCUGCGAAAGCAUUUGCCAAGGAUGUUUUCAUUAAUCAAGAACGAAAAGUUAGGGGAUCGAAGACGAUCAGAUACCGUCGUAGUCUUAACCAUAAACUAUGCCGACUAGGAAUCGGGCGAUGUUAUUCUCAUGACUCGCCCGGCGCCUU